UAGAUGAAUAUUGUUUUAACUCUAAUAAUGUUGGAAGUAUAAAUUGUAAGAAAUAUAAUAUAAAAAUAAUAAAAAAAGAAGAAUGUAAUUUGUGAUUCUAUGACUACAAAUAAUGAACGUCAACAUGACAUGUCAGCAAUUUUUCGACAUAACCAAGAAUCAAAGUUAACUAAUGCAUGAAAGGAUUUUUUCUGUUUGUCUGUACCAUCAUUUAUGUAUGUUUAUCUGGACCAUCAUUUUACAAAAGUUAUCAUUAGUGAAGUUUAUGAUUUGGCACAGGAUUCCUAAUUACCAUAGUAAAAGAAUCGAAUCGAAUAACCAUAACGAGAAAACCUCACAUUCUGCUCCUGAGGAAGGAAUGAACACAUUCCGAAAGCUCGAGUAUAAAGAAUAAAGAGUGAUCCAUUCGUUUUUGACUGCAAUCCCAAAUAACCCCCAAUCUGAAUAUAAGAAAACAGUCGAUACCUUU